rnacentral:rRNA from 1 species
CAGUCGAGCGAAGCAGUUAAGUUGAUUUCUUCGGAUUGAUUCUUAAUUGACCGUUAGGCGGACGGGUGAGUAACGCGUGGGUGACCUGCCCCAUACCGGGGGAUAACAGCUGGAAACGGCUGCUAAUACCGCAUAAGCGCACAGAGCUGCAUGGCUCAGUGUGAAAAACUCCGGUGGUAUGGGAUGGGCCCGCGUCUGAUUAGGCAGUUGGCGGGGUAAUGGCCCACCAAGGCGACGAUUGGUAGCCGGACUGAGAGGUUGAACGGCCACAUUGGGACUGAGACACGGCCCAGACUCCUACGGGAGGCAGCAGUGGGGGAUAUUGCACAAUGGGGGAAACCCUGAUGCAGCGACGCCGCGUGAGCGAAGAAGUAUUUCGGUAUGUAAAGCUCUAUCAGCAGGGAAGAAAAUGACGGUACCUGACUAAGAAGCCCCGGCUAACUACGUGCCAGCAGCCGCGGUAAUACGUAGGGGGCAAGCGUUAUCCGGAUUUACUGGGUGUAAAGGGAGCGUAGACGGCACGGCAAGCCAGAUGUGAAAGCCCGGGGCUCAACCCCGGGACUGCAUUUGGAACUGCUGAGCUAGAGUGUCGGAGAGGCAAGUGGAAUUCUUAGUGUAGCGGUGAAAUGCGUAGAUAUUAGGAGGAACACCAGUAGCGAAGGCGGCUUACUGGACGGUAACUGACGUUGAGGCUCGAAAGCGUGGGGAGCAA